rnacentral:lncRNA from 1 species
CAAUGAAAAAAAAGCGAAGAAAGAAAAGUAACCCAAAACUUUUCAAAGCUCCUAAUGAUGACUAGGAUCCUAGCAUCGACAAAGAAGAAAGACAUCCUAACUUGCUACAGCAUUGGCAAAGGGCAGUUCCCCAGACAAAAUACUUCGCAGUAGUGAUGUGUUUUAUGCACUUAUUU